CCGAGUUUACAACUCCCAAACCCAAUGUGAACCAUACCAAACUGUUGCCUCGGCGGGGUCACGCCCCGGGUGCGUCGCAGCCCCGGAACCAGGCGCCCGCCGGAGGGACCAACCAAACUCUUUUCUGUAGUCCCCUCGCGGACGUUAUUUCUUACAGCUCUGAGCAAAAAUUCAAAAUGAAUCAA
rnacentral:misc_RNA from 1 species